GCGAACGCUGGCGGCAGGCCUAACACAUGCAAGUCGAACGGAUCCUUCGGGAUUAGUGGCGGACGGGUGAGUAACACGUGGGAACGUGCCUUUUGGUUCGGAAUAGCUCCUGGAAACGGGUGGUAAUGCCGAAUGUGCCCUUCGGGGGAAAGAUUUAUCGCCAUUAGAGCGGCCCGCGUCUGAUUAGCUAGUUGGUGAGGUAAAGGCUCACCAAGGCUACGAUCAGUAGCUGGUCUGAGAGGAUGACCAGCCACAUUGGGACUGAGACACGGCCCAAACUCCUACGGGAGGCAGCAGUGGGGAAUCUUGCGCAAUGGGCGAAAGCCUGACGCAGCCAUGCCGCGUGAAUGAUGAAGGUCUUAGGAUUGUAAAGCUCUUUCACCGGAGAAGAUAAUGACGGUAUCCGGAGAAGAAGCCCCGGCUAACUUCGU
rnacentral:rRNA from 1 species